UGGGGAAUUUUGGACAAUGGGCGAAAGCCUGAUCCAGCAAUGCCGCGUGUGUGAAGAAGGCCUUCGGGUUGUAAAGCACUUUUGUCCGGAAAGAAAUCCUUGGCUCUAAUACAGUCGGGGGAUGACGGUACCGGAAGAAUAAGCACCGGCUAACUACGUGCCAGCAGCCGCGGUAAUACGUAGGGUGCAAGCGUUAAUCGGAAUUACUGGGCGUAAAGCGUGCGCAGGCGGUUUGCUAAGACCGAUGUGAAAUCCCCGGGCUCAACCUGGGAACUGCAUGUGACUGGGCAGGCUAGAGUAUGGCAGGAGGGGGGUAGAAUUCCACGUGUAGCAGUGAAAUGCGUAGAGAUGUGGAGGAAUACCGAUGGCGAAGGCAGCCCCCUGGGCCAAUACUGACGCUCAUGCACGAAAGCGUGGGGAGCAAACAGGAUUAGAUACCCUGGUAGUCCAGCGCCCUAAACGAUGUCAACUAGUUGUUGGGG
rnacentral:rRNA from 1 species